AGAGUUUGAUCAUGGCUCAGAUUGAACGCUGGCGGCAGGCCUAACACAUGCAAGUCGAGCGGUAGCACAGAGAGCUUGCUCUCGGGUGACGAGCGGCGGACGGGUGAGUAAUGUCUGGGAAACUGCCUGAUGGAGGGGGAUAACUACUGGAAACGGUAGCUAAUACCGCAUAAUGUCGCAAGACCAAAGUGGGGGACCUUCGGGCCUCAUGCCAUCAGAUGUGCCCAGAUGGGAUUAGCUAGUAGGUGGGGUAACGGCUCACCUAGGCGACGAUCCCUAGCUGGUCUGAGAGGAUGACCAGCCACACUGGAACUGAGACACGGUCCAGACUCCUACGGGAGGCAGCAGUGGGGAAUAUUGCACAAUGGGCGCAAGCCUGAUGCAGCCAUGCCGCGUGUGUGAAGAAGGCCUUCGGGUUGUAAAGCACUUUCAGCGGGGAGGAAGGCGAUAAGGUUAAUAACCUUGGCGAUUGACGUUACCCGCAGAAGAAGCACCGGCUAACUCCGUGCCAGCAGCCGCGGUAAUACGGAGGGUGCAAGCGUUAAUCGGAAUUACUGGGCGUAAAGCGCACGCAGGCGGUCUGUCAAGUCGGAUGUGAAAUCCCCGGGCUCAACCUGGGAACUGCAUUCGAAACUGGCAGGCUAGAGUCUUGUAGAGGGGGGUAGAAUUCCAGGUGUAGCGGUGAAAUGCGUAGAGAUCUGGAGGAAUACCGGUGGCGAAGGCGGCCCCCUGGACAAAGACUGACGCUCAGGUGCGAAAGCGUGGGGAGCAAACAGGAUUAGAUACCCUGGUAGUCCACGCCGUAAACGAUGUCGAUUUGGAGGUUGUGCCCUUGAGGCGUGGCUUCCGGAGCUAACGCGUUAAAUCGACCGCCUGGGGAGUACGGCCGCAAGGUUAAAACUCAAAUGAAUUGACGGGGGCCCGCACAAGCGGUGGAGCAUGUGGUUUAAUUCGAUGCAACGCGAAGAACCUUACCUGGUCUUGACAUCCACAGAACUUAGCAGAGAUGCUUUGGUGCCUUCGGGAACUGUGAGACAGGUGCUGCAUGGCUGUCGUCAGCUCGUGUUGUGAAAUGUUGGGUUAAGUCCCGCAACGAGCGCAACCCUUAUCCUUUGUUGCCAGCGGUCCGGCCGGGAACUCAAAGGAGACUGCCAGUGAUAAACUGGAGGAAGGUGGGGAUGACGUCAAGUCAUCAUGGCCCUUACGACCAGGGCUACACACGUGCUACAAUGGCAUAUACAAAGAGAAGCGACCUCGCGAGAGCAAGCGGACCUCAUAAAGUAUGUCGUAGUCCGGAUUGGAGUCUGCAACUCGACUCCAUGAAGUCGGAAUCGCUAGUAAUCGUAGAUCAGAAUGCUACGGUGAAUACGUUCCCGGGCCUUGUACACACCGCCCGUCACACCAUGGGAGUGGGUUGCAAAAGAAGUAGGUAGCUUAACCUUCGGGAGGGCGCUUACCACUUUGUGAUUCAUGACUGGGGUGAAGUCGUAACAAGGUAACCGUAGGGGAACCUGCGGUUGGAUCACCU
rnacentral:rRNA from 1 species